rnacentral:lncRNA from 1 species
AAAGCCUGGGACACCAAAGAAGUCCUUAUGCAAAGCAUUUUAAGCCUCUCAGUUAUUUUUAAAGAAGUGGGAAAAUAUGACGAGAGCCUGAAUUUCCUUACGGCUGGUGAAGCUUUUCUUCUCAUGAUCCCCGAGUCUCAUCACAUCUGCUUCACUCAGUGUGGUUUAAUGAAGCAGUGUGUGCAUAGAUCUGUAUCUCCUAUGAGUCCUUCUUGCCAGAUGUCAAAUCCACUUCCCAAGACCCUGGAGAGCUAG